UACGUAGGGUGCGAGCGUUAAUCGGAAUUACUGGGCGUAAAGCGUGCGCAGGCGGUUCGUUGUGUCUGAUGUGAAAGCCCCGGGCUUAACCUGGGAAUGGCAUUGGAAACUGGCGAGCUGGAGUGUGGCAGAGGGGGGUGGAAUUCCGCGUGUAGCAGUGAAAUGCGUAGAGAUGCGGAGGAACACCGAUGGCGAAGGCAGCCCCCUGGGCCAAUACUGACGCUCAUGCACGAAAGCGUGGGGAGCAAACAGG
rnacentral:rRNA from 1 species